rnacentral:lncRNA from 1 species
AUUGAAUGACCACGUGAAAAUGAGGGACCAACUGCGCAAAUGUUCCCUUUAAGCAGAACGCGUGGAUCCUCCUGGGUAAUUGGAUCGGGUCGGAUCAGGCAUGGCCUAUACGGCACUGUUCUGUAGCCCUGGAAACAGGCUUAAAACGACACCAUUUUUGCUCCUUUAUAAAGGCUAAAAUCAGGCCUAUUUGGCCAAAUCAACCCUAGUCCCUUUCUUUCUCAUUUGGCAAACCCUAAAUCCCUUACUUCAACCACCAAUUUACCUCCACAAACAACAACCUGUGCAUUCAAGUUUGAAAGGAUAGUUUUUCAGCCUUGAGAUCCCCUUUCGGUUUCGAUUUCAACGAAGCAAAAGGAAUCUAUUGGCAUAUUCGCAAGGUAAGAGUUCUCUUUCUCUUUUUUCCUUUGUUUACAAACGCAAUGAUGAAAGAUCAAAGGAAAUAAAUCGCAAGAAAAUGAAAAAACUUAAAGAAAAUUAAAACAGAAAUCACCUUUAAAAUCUUUGUUGGUUUUCUUUGUAUUCAAUUUGCAUUCGUAAUCCCAUUUACAGUAUAUAAUCGGCCUUUUUAUAGCCAAACCAAGAGAAAAGGGAAAAGGGAAAAAAAUAAUAAAAAUGUAAAUACAAAUUUUCUUUUUCUAUUAUUGAUUUGCUGUGUUAUUUUGUUCUUCUCGCAGGUUCUAUGGAUGCAGGAGGUGCUGUACGGAGGAAGAGGCCCUGGUGACGUGGAGGUCGUGCGUGGGAAACCACUCGUGGGAGCCCGAUCCCCUGGCUGGCUGCGACGCUAGCAUGUUCCAAAAACCUUUGGGGUUUCUGGUACUUUCAAACUGUUGGGCCCCUUUUGGCCAUUUGGGAUUGUUUUAGCAGUGGGCUGUUGUAAACUGGGUUAAGGAUUAAGUUGGAGGGCUUUGGGUGUAAUGGGAUUUUGGGUUAGGGUCUAGGCCAAUAAUUUUAGGCUUUAUUUUGGGGUUUCAAUUGGGUCUCGAUUAAUAUUUUGUAUUUUCGGACUGUGAACAUUUUAUUGUUUUUGGGUUUUUUUAUUUUUUUUGUUUUAUUUUAGCUUUGGUUCUGGUAUAAGCCCGGGCGAAAUGGGCCUAUUGCACUCUCAAAAUCAACACCAUGUUGAAGCAUAAAAGACUCGGCCAAGGUGUGGUAUUUGCAAUUUCUACAACAUUCCAUUAUGAGUUUCGAGCAGUCGGUGGACUUAUUUAUGAGUAGGUUACAAUCUCCUGCUUAUCUCAUAUCCAUCAAGAAGUGCAAGGAUAAACCUUUAAGAGAUCUUGUGAAAAGGUUUAAUGCAGCAACUAUGGUUGCAAAAGAUGUCCCUUAAGAAUUCAUUGUUCAAGCUUUCAUGUUUGGAACAAUUCACCAAUUUUUGAAAUAUAACUUAAUUGAUAAGUCCCUAGCCAACUUAUUAGCAUUAUACAAGAAGACUCAUGUCUUCGUUGAAAAUGAUGAAUUAGAAAAAACUAAGUUGCAAGUGCAGCGAACUAGUGCACUAACCUUAGGAAACUACCAUUAUUCUCAAAGAAGUAGACCCCUAUUGCAUGAUAGAGUUGGGAGAACUUGCUCUUAACAUUUGUACUUGCGGGGGAGAGGGGGAUGGAGGGUAACAGGGAUAUCUUUCCAGUGACUCUCGAGGCUACCAAUGAUAGAUUAGGACAGAUAGAUUAGGACAGAUAGAGGUUAUCAACAAAGUCAGUGAGGACAACAA